GACGAACGCUGGCGGCGUGCUUAACACAUGCAAGUCGAACGGAAAGGCCUGCUUUCCCUUGUGGAUUGCGGGUACUCGAGUGGCGAACGGGUGAGUAACACGUGAGUGAUCUGCCCCCAACUUGGGUAUAAGCCUGGGAAACUGGGUCUAAUUCCCGAUAGGACUGCAGGGUGGUGCCUGUGGUGGAAAACGAUUUUCUAGUGGUUGGGGAUGAGGUCGCGGCCUAUCAGCUUGUUGGUGGGGUAAUGGCCUACCAAGGCGGCGACGGGUAGCCGGCCUGAGAGGGCGAGGGGCAAGAUUGGGACGGAGAUACGGCCCAGACUGCGACGGGAGGCAGCAGUGGGGAUGAUGGCAGAAUGGGCGGAAGCCUGAGGCAGGACCGACGCUGGCGUGAUGAGGGACGUAGGGUUGUAAACCGCUUAAAGCAGGGGCGAAGCUGGUGGUGACGGUACGUGAAGAAGAAGCACCGGCUAACUCCGUG
rnacentral:rRNA from 1 species